AUUGAACGCUGGCGGCAGGCCUAACACAUGCAAGUCGAACGAGUGGCGGACGGGUGAGUAAUGUCUGGGAAACUGCCUGAUGGAGGGGGAUAACUACUGGAAACGGUAGCUAAUACCGCAUACCAUCGGAUGUGCCCAGAUGGGAUUAGCUAGUAGGUGGGGUAAAGGCUCACCUAGGCGACGAUCCCUAGCUGGUCUGAGAGGAUGACCAGCCACACUGGAACUAAGAAACGGUCCAGACUCCUACGGGAGGAAGCAGUGGGGAAUAUUGAACAAUGGGCGCAAGCCUGAUCCAGCCAUGCAGCGUGUGUGAAGAAGGGCUUCGGAUGGUAAAGCACUUUAAGUUGGGAGGCGUUACCAACAGAAGAAGCACCGGCUAACUUCGUGCCAGCAGCCGCGGUAAUAC
rnacentral:rRNA from 1 species